GUAAUGCAAAAGUGGUAAAACCUAAUUAUGGCCCAACUGAAGUAAAACAAAUGGGAUAAGAAACUCAGCCCACCCCAAAAUAAACGCUCAACCAAGAACAAAGCGAUUCACUAGACUUGUCCAACUCUGAUUAUCAACAUUAUUAAAUGGUGGUUCCUUUAUUAAAGGUGUAGUGGCCGUGCUGCUACAUCCCCUUUAUUCCCCAAAGCAGAAAUUAGGUGCCUGCAUCAAACAAUGCAAGAUGUGAGAUAACACAUCUCAGCAAGUAAACAUAACAACAACAAGUAGGCCAUUGUAAAUCAACUGUGCUUACACAACCACGUGUUCAGGACUUCUUUCUUUUCUUUUGAACAGUAAAUUGCAGCAAGUAUACAAGUAACUAAAAACUCAACGCCAAGAUGAAUCACCAUGCACAAGUCCAAAUUAUCCAUAUCCACAUAAUAGAUUCAACACCUCUCCCAUGAAUGCACAUGGCUACAAAUGCAAUAAUGACUUCUGCCUCCAUAUCUCUAAGGAUAUGAAGCUGCACCAUACCCCUUCUCGGGCAACAUAUGAUGCUCAAUGUACCGGUAUGGUCGGACCAUAAGAUCGCGACGAAACUUCAAUGCAAUGGAUGAUGAGUGCAUUAUGCAUGACAACAUCAUAAGUUCUUCCCAAAUAAAAAUGUGCUAGGCAUUUACUUCCAACCAUUCCACAUAAUAACCACUUGAGUAACAUAAUCAAACCUCAAACUCAACAUAUGAAAUCCAUGAAACAUGAACAUUUUCAAAUGAUGGUACUCAAAAGAAAAAUAUGAAUUUGAACAUGAUAGCACAAUAUAAACAAGUAUAAGACUCCUCAUCUGACAGACGGAAUAACCAUCACAGUUUUACUUGCCUUCACCGAAGUUUGGGCAAAAUCACUAAGAACGAUCCGGAAGUCCACCACCUGUUUUUGACACCCAACUUAGUGCACCAAAUUCACAUAAAAAACUCAAAGACAACACCGCACCUACGCGCAGUCUCAACCCCGUCGCGGUAACAAUUCUCCCCUCACUAACCAAACUGCAGCGGCGCUGCUUAACAAUUCCAUAACUUAAAAAUUAGGACAGCAGUGGUGUCAAACAAAAACUUCAGAGACAACUACAUAAAAUUUCCCACAAGUUUUGUAUACAACUCAUGAUUAAAUUCUAAAAUCUAAUUACCUCUAAACGGUCCACAAAAUAAACCCUGCAAUCUGUUCUUUUCUGAUUUGGGCAGCGACAUACUCGGAUUCAAACAGCGAUAACUUUUAAAAUAUAAUUCCGAUUUGAGCGCAUAAGUACUUAUUGGAAAGAUAAGAAAAAGCCCUACAUGAUUCUCAUACUGAUUAACACUAAUUACUCCCAAAAAAUCCCCAGAAACGGCUAAUACUUUUGCUGUUCAUCACUCUGAAAAUUCUGUUUUUUUGGACAGCCACACACCCGGAUUCAAACGAUGAUAACUUUUAAUUUAUAACUCCAAAUUGAGCGCAUAAAUACUCGUUGGAAAGGUAAAACAAAGUUCUACAAGAUCCCCAAAUUGAUCCCCAUUAAUUCUUCACGAAAAACCUUAAAAACUGCUAGAACUUCCGCUGUUCAUCCACCACGUAAAAUUCUGGACAGCCCCCCCUCUAUCUAAUCACAAACGCAACAUCUAAACAAUUGAAUCGCAGCGCAAAUGAACAAGGGAUGAACACAAAAAUCACCUUGGGUUCUCCCCCUUUCUUUCCUCCCUUCUUCCCUCCACCAAAACGGUUGGAGAAUCGCACCACGAGACGACGAUCCGAGCGGCAAGGAUUGGCACCUUGGGAGAAGGGGAUUGAGGGGGGGGGUGGCUAGGGUUUGGUGGCUGCAAAAAAUGAGAGAGAAGGAGAUGGGCAGGGGGGUGGCGGCCAAGGGGAGGAGGAGA
rnacentral:lncRNA from 1 species